rnacentral:rRNA from 1 species
GACGAACGCUGGCGGCGUGCCUAAUACAUGCAAGUUGAGCGCUGAAGGUUGGUACUUGUCCCAACUGGCUGAGCAGCGAACGGGUGAGUAACGCGUGGGGAAUCUGCCUUUGAGCGGGGGACAACAUUUGGAAACGAAUGCUAAUACCGCAUAAAAACUUUAAACACAAGUUUUAAGUUUGAAAGAUGCAAUUGCAUCACUCAAAGAUGAUCCCGCGUUGUAUUAGCUAGUUGGUGAGGUAAAGGCUCACCAGGGCGAUGAUACAUAGCCGACCUGAGAGGGUGAUCGGCCACAUUGGGACUGAGACACGGCCCAAACUCCUACGGGAGGCAGCAGUAGGGAAUCUUCGGCAAUGGACGAAAGUCUGACCGAGCAACGCCGCGUGAGUGAAGAAGGUUUUCGGAUCGUAAAACUCUGUUGGUAGAGAAGAACGUUGGUGAGAGUGGAAAGCUCAUCAAGUGACGGUAACUACCCAGAAAGGGACGGCUAACUACGUG